rnacentral:rRNA from 1 species
GUGGGGAAUCUUGCGCAAUGGGCGAAAGCCUGACGCAGCCAUGCCGCGUGAAUGAUGAAGGUCUUAGGAUUGUAAAAUUCUUUCACCGGGGACGAUAAUGACGGUACCCGGAGAAGAAGCUCCGGCUAACUUCGUGCCAGCAGCCGCGGUAAUACGAAGGGGGCUAGCGUUGCUCGGAAUUACUGGGCGUAAAGGGCGCGUAGGCGGACAGCUUAGUCAGAGGAGAAAGCCCAGGGCUCAACCUUGGAAUUGCCUUUGAUACUGGCUGUCUUGAGUUUGGGAGAGUUGAGUGGAACUCCAAGUGUAGAGGUGAAAGUCUUAGAUAUUCGGAAGAACACCAGUGGCGAAGGCGACUCACUGGCCCAAUACUGACGCUGAGGCGCGAAAGCGUGGGGAGCAAACAUGAUUAGAUACCCUUGUAGUCC